AGGUUUGAAUGAAGACUCUUAUUUUGUAAUUGCAUAAUUAAAUUGGAACUUUAUGAACAACCUCUAGUCUCAGUUUCAGCCCACAUUUGAGAUCAACCUGCCGUCCUAGUUUAUUCUAGUACAAAUUUUAUCUCUAUGGUCUUUGCUUGAUCUGGGGAUAGUAAGUUUUCAAGUUUGUUCACAUUUAAUUCAUACCCCAUUUUUUAUCCCACCCUUUACCAGAUGCCAUUUGCUAUUCUGUACUUUCUUUUCCUGUCUCUGCCUAUCAGUUUGACUAUUGUUUGAAGCCUGAAAUGUUUAAAUUGUACUCAAAUUACAUUUCUGAAUUUCAGCUCCUGCGGCCGAUGGAUGGGAUGCCGUUGCAGCACCUGCCCCUACUGGCUGGGAACAGGGCAGUGCUCCGGCACCUGCAGCAGCACCAGCUGCUACUCAGAACUGGGAGUGAAGGACUUGACCCAAGGUUUAUGCUACUCGGCACUCUGGAGUGAAGGAGUUCGGCCGUGGUUUAUUGGUGAAGGCUGUGUUAUUUGCCCCGUCAGUACUCUGUUGGUAGACGCUGGUUAAGUAGAUUUAAUUUUUACAGUACUGAGUUAUGUUAGAUGGAAAUCGAUUUUUGUCUUCUUGGCUUUGCAGGGGUUGGGAGUUAUCACCCCAGCCUUCUGUUGCCUCUCAUCGAAUAGCUUUAUUUGAAGUUCCAUUUUGCCAGCAAGUGUAUGGUCAGAUUCUCUUGAAAUGUUAUAAAAGCCCGGAUCAUGUGAUACCCUAGAUAUGUCUUUAUUUAUGAGGCUAUUGCUUAUAACUUGCAAGGCGUGGUACCCAAGACAUAAGAAAAUGCAUAUCAUAAAUAUUAAAAAAAGCUUAACUAGGAGGGCAACAUGCUAUGCUUAUCAAUUAUUAUCAUCGUUACAUUUCACAAAUUUUGAUAGCCGGCGUGGGCAAGCAUGAAACUGGUCGGUGCGUCUCUGCGUCUGGCUUUAAUUUAAGCUCUAAUUUUUCGUGAGUGUACGCUGUGGUGCUGAAUGACAUUACCUUCUUUUUAAAGUAGAAUAUGCUUCAUUCUAACGGCAAUGUAACCUGUUAAGAUUAAUUAACAUAGUAAUUAAGGGAUUAAUCCCUGCUUGUAUUAACCUUUGGCGGUUACUUUUCCAACCGUUGGGUCGGUUAUGUCUGAACCGACACCCCCUUUGUAAACGCAUGUUCCAGUGCUAUAUAUAGCACUUCAUCUAAUGCAAAGAGAUAGUUCGAUCAUUUGUUCUGUCGAUAGCGAUUUGGUCGAGAGAAAAAGGGACGGCGCGACCGCUCCCCGGCCAUGGCCUCUCCUGCAGAGGUCAUGAUAGCGGCCACCGGCCGGCGUCGCCUCCCUCCGGCCGUCGUUGCGGGUCCCCUUCGCCCGCGCGGCGCUCGCGCCUGGAGUAGCCAGGCUACUCCCGCCCGCGUCAAGGCCUCGCCCUCGCACGCUGCGCCACACCCCGCGCGAGGCCAUGGCCACGCGUCGCCUGCGCCGAGGCUUCGCCCUCNNNNNNNNNNNNNNNNNNNNNNNNNNNNNNNNNNNNNNNNNNNNNNNNNNNNNNNNNNNNNNNNNNNNNNNNNNNNNNNNNNNNNNNNNNNNNNNNNNNNNNNNNNNNNNNNNNNNNNNNNNNNNNNNNNNNNNNNNNNNNNNNNNNNNNNNNNNNNNNNNNNNNNNNNNNNNNNNNNNNNNNNNNNNNNNNNNNNNNNNNNNNNNNNNNNNNNNNNNNNNNNNNNNNNNNNNNNNNNNNNNNNNNNNNNNNNNNNNNNNNNNNNNNNNNNNNNNNNNNNNNNNNNNNNNNNNNNNNNNNNNNNNNNNNNNNNNNNNNNNNNNNNNNNNNNNNNNNNNNNNNNNNNNNNNNNNNNNNNNNNNNNNNNNNNNNNNNNNNNNNNNNNNNNNNNNNNNNNNNNNNNNNNNNNNNNNNNNNNNNNNNNNNNNNNNNNNNNNNNNNNNNNNNNNNNNNNNNNNNNNNNNNNNNNNNNNNNNNNNNNNNNNNNNNNNNNNNNNNNNNNNNNNNNNNNNNNNNNNNNNNNCCUCCGCGCCGCGCCCCAGGCCACGGCCUCCGCCCGGCCGUGUGCCAUGCUGCACCGCGUGCCCGUCCGCCGCCCGCGGCGCACCAGCGUCUUCUAGCGCUACGGCAGCACGAAUACGUGCGGCAGUGCCCUCCCAUCGGCAGCGAACGGUGGUGCGUAGCACGGCGGCGUGAGCCAAAACGAAUCCUUCGAUUCGUAACCGCACAUGGAAAUUGGAAAGGCCAUGGAGCCUUAUCCCUUCGCGAUUAUACACUUUAGCCCAUGCAGCUUUACCUAUUUUCAUAAUAGGCUUGCGUGUAUAAAUCUUGGGAGUAAUUCCUGUAUGUCUCAGGAUAACUCAACAUGGUUCAACUACUCGUGCUAUUCAUUAGCACUUGUCAUCUUUAUUAGACCAUGUAUGUAUAGAUAUGCAUUUCAACUCAUUUUCUGUUGAGUUUUACAACUCCAGAAAUAUGUGUAUAUUUAUAUUUGACAUGUUCAAUGUGUUUACCACAUUCUCUAGAACAUGUUUUUCGCGAUUGAGAUUAAAUUUUCUCGCACAACAAUAUUGAUUUGCAAUUGAGAAAUAUAUUUUUUCUCGCAAAACAAUCUCAUAGCGAUUGAGAUUAAUUUUCUCUCACAAAAUAUUAAUUCACCCAGCUGAAUUAUCUUGCAACUUGAUACAGGAUCAUCUCAUUUAAUUUGAGAUCUGUACAAUUCAAGUUUUUCACUUGAACAUCAAGUUUGCAACAUCAUUACUAUUCAUUAUAAUAGUGGUGUAUUUCUGUUGAGUAUAAUGUAUUCCGGAAUGUAUGUAUCUCCAUGUUCGCUACAUGUUGAGAUUAAUACGUCUAUUUGCAAUUGAGAUUUUUAAUUUCUUGCAAAUAAGAAUGCAAAAUUCAAAGUGAUUUCUUCAAAUUGAUGUAUUGGGAUCACAAGGUAGUCAUUUAGAUCUACUGCCUUCGCAGAUUGUCAAUGACUACUGUUAAAGCCUAUAUUUUAUCAUUUUGACAUUAUAAUUGCUUUACAAAGUGCUCUCCUACACAUUUUACUAAGUCAUGACAUAAGGCAUUACGAGUGCGUAUCUAAUGAUUCCAUCAGAUUAUACUCCCUAUGUUGCAGAUCUACUCUAUUUUGGAGAUUAUCUUCAAGGUGUCAUACUUAGCAAUUUGAGAUUCACACUAAUGGUUCCAAGCCAAGUUCUUAAAAUUUCCAUUAAUUUUGCAAAAUUCAUUACAACACUAACCAUGAUGGUCUUUAAUUUAAUGAUCGUAAAUUAAUUAUCUCUGGUAACCGAUGGCUAGAGAAUUGAGGCAUUCGCCCUCAAUGGCCACCACUGCCCUACCUGGGCCAUGGACAUCAUGAUCACUCUUAUGUCUUGUGGGAUAAUGUGUGCAAUCCAAGACCUGUCGGAUUCUCCUACGAUUGGAGUCACACCACUAACAGAAUAAACAUGUUGCUUUAUGCAUCAUAAGGCAUUAUAUCGAUCCAGAUCUCAGCAUUUGGUUAUUCUAUAUUAGCAAUCCCUGGGAUACAAAGAACCUCAAGGGCAAAAGGUUUGAAGCUCACUUCAAACCUUCAACCUGACACCAUCAUGGAAGUUAGUUGUUUGUAUGAUGUUCUUCUAGAACCGAGCAAUAAUGACUAUCCAGCUGUCACGGGACCCUAUGAGCACGGAGAACAUGAAAGUUGAAUAUGCACAAACUAACUUUUGGAAAUAUGCCCUAGAGGCAAUAAUAAAUGGUUAUCAUUAUAUUUCUUUGUUCAUGAUAAUUGUCUAUUGUUCAUGCUAUAAUUGUGUUAUCCGGAAAUCGUAAUACAUGUGUGAAUACAUAGACCACAACGUGUCCCUAGUAAGCCUCUAGUUGACUAGCUCGUUGAUCAACAAAUAGUCAUGGUUUCCUGACUAUGGACAUUGGAUGUCAUUGAUAACGGGAUCACAUCAUUAGGAGAAUGAUGUGAUGGACAAGACCCAAUCCUAAGCAUAGCAUAAAAGAUCGUGUAGUUCGUUUGCUAGAGCUUUUCCAAUGUCAAGUAUCUUUUCCUUAGACCAUGAGAUCGUGUAACUCCCGGAUGCCGUAGGAGUGCUUUGGGUGUACCCAACGUCACAACGUAACUGGGUGACUAUAAAGGUACACUACGGGUAUCUCUGAAAGUGUCUGUUGGGUUGACACGGAUCGAGACUGGGAUUUGUCACUCCGUGUGACGGAGAGGUAUCUCUGGGCCCACUCGGUAAUGCAUCAUCAUAAUGAGCUCAAUGUGACUAAGGAGUUAGCCACGGGAUCAUGCAUUACGGUAUGAGUAAAGUGACUUGCCGGUAACGAGAUUGAACAAGGUAUUGGGAUACCGACGAUCGAGUCUCGGGCAAGUAACGUACCGAUUGACAAAGGGAAUUGUAUACGGGAUUGAUUGAAUCCUCGACAUCGUGGUUCAUCCGAUGAGAUCAUCGUGGAACAUGUGGGAGCCAACAUGGGUAUCCAGAUCCCGCUGUUGGUUAUUGACCGGAGAGGCGUCUCGGUCAUGUCUGCAUGUCUCCCGAACCCGUAGGGUCUACACACUUAAGGUUCAGUGACGCUAGGGUUGUAGAGAUAUUAGUAUGCGGAAACCCGAAAGUUGUUCGGAGUCCCUGAUGAGAUCCCGGACGUCACGAGGAGUUCCGGAAUGGUACGGAGGUGAAGAAUUAUAUAUGGGAAGUCCAGUUUCGGCCACGGGGAAAGUUUCGGGGGUUAUCGGUAUUGUACCGGGACCACCGGAAGGGUCUCGGGGGUCCACCGGGUGGGGCCAACUAUCCCGGAGGGCCCCAUGGGCUGAAGUGGGAAGGGAACCAGCCCUUAGUGGGCUGGGGGCCCCCCUUGGGCCUCCCCCUGCGCCUAGGGUUGGAAACCCUAGGGGUGGGGGGCGCCCCACUUGGCUUGGGGGGGAAGCCACCCCCCUUCCCCCUUGGCCGCCGCCUCCCUUGGAGAUCUGAUCUCCCAGGGCCGGCGCCCCCCCAGGGGUCCCUAUAUAUAGUGGGGGGGAGGGAGGGCAGCAGCACCACAGCCCCUGGCGCCUCCCUCUCCCCCUGCAACACCUCUCCCUCUCGCAGAAGCUUGGCGAAGCCCUGCCGAGAUCCCGCUACUUCCACCACCACGCCGUCGUGCUGCUGGAUCUCCAUCAACCUCUCCUUCCCCCUUGCUGGAUCAAGAAGGAGGAGACGUCGCUGCUCCGUACGUGUGAUUUGGAUCACGGCGAGUACGACUCCAUCAACCCCGUUCAUUGGAACGCUUCCGCUCGCGAUCUACAAGGGUAUGUAGAUGCACUCCUUUCCCCUCAUUGCUAGUAUACUCCAUAGAUGGAUCUUGGUGAUGCGUAGGAAAUUUUAAAAUUCUGCUACGAUCCCCAACAGUGGUAUCAGAGCCAGGUUUAUGCGUAGUUACUAUGCACGAGUAGAACACAAAGCAGUUGUGGGCGUAGAUGUUGCCAAUUCUUCUUGCCGCUACUAGUCUUAUCUUGUUUCGGCGGCAUUGUGGGAUGAAGCGGCCCGGACCGACCUUACACGUACGCUUACGUGAGACAGGUUCCACCGACUGACAUGCACUAGUUGCAUAAGGUGGCUAGCGGGUGUCUGUCUCUCCCACUUUAGUCGGAACGGAUUCGAUGAAAAGGGUCCUUAUGAAGGGUAAAUAGAAAUUGGCAUAUCACGUUGUGGUUUUACGUAGGUAAGAAACGUUCUUGCUAGAAACCUAUACAAGCCACGUAAAAACUUGUAACAACAAUUAGAGGACGUCUAACUUGUUUUUGCAGCAUGUGCUAUGUGAUGUGAUAUGGACAGAAGAUGUGAUGAAUGAUAUAUGUGAUGUAUGAGAUUGAUCAUAUUCUUGUAAUAGGAAUCACGACUUGCAUGUCGAUGAGUAUGACAACCGGCAGGAGCCAUAGGAGUUGUCUUUAUUUUUUGUAUGACCUGCGUGUCAUUGAAUAACGCCAUGUAAAUUACUUUACUUUAUUGCUAAGCGCGUUAGCCAUAGAAGUAGAAGUAAUUCGUUGGCGUGACAACUUCAUGAAGACACAACGAUGGAGAUCAUGAUGAUGGAGAUCAUGGUGUCAUGCCGGUGACGAAGAUGAUCAUGGUGCCCCGAAGAUGGAGAUCAAAGGAGCAAAAUGAUAUUGGCCAUAUCAUGUCACUAUUUGAUUGCAUGUGAUGUUUAUCAUGUUUUGCAUCUUAUUUGCUUAGAACGACGGUAGUAAGUAAGAUGAUCCCUUAUAAUAAUUUCAAGAAAGUGUUCCCCCUAACCGUGCACCGUUGCGAAGGUUCGUUGUUUCGAAGCACCACGUGAUGAUCGGGUGUGAUAGAUUCUAACGUUCGCAUACAACGGGUGUUGACGAGCCUAGCAUGUACUGACAUGGCCUCGGAACACACGCAAUACACUUAGGUUGACUUGACGAGCCUAGCAUGUACAGACAUGGCCUCGGAACACGGAAGACCGAAAGGUCGAGCAUGAGUCGUAUAGAAGAUACGAUCAACAUGGAGAUGUUCACCGAUCUUGACUAGUCCGUCUCACGUGAUGAUCGGACACGACCUAGUUAACUCGGAUCAUGUUUCACUUAGAUGACUAGAGGGAUGUCUAUCUGAGUGGGAGUUCAUUGAAUAAUUUGAUUAUAUGAACUUAAUUAUCAUGAACUUAGUCUAAAAUCUUUACAAUAUGUCUUGUAGAUCAAAUGGCCCACGUUGUCCUCAACUUCAACGCGUUCCUAGAGAAAACCAAGCUGAAAGAUGAUGGUAGCAACUAUACGGACUGGGUCCGGAACCUGAGGAUCAUCCUCAUAGCUGCCAAGAAAGAUUAUGUCUUAGAAGCACCGCUAGGUGAAGCACCCAUCCCAGAGAACCAAGACGUUAUGAAUGCUUGGCAAUCACGUGCUGAUGAUUACUCCCUCGUUCAGUGCGGCAUGCUUUACAGCUUAAAACCGGGGCUCCAAAAGCGUUUUGAGAAGCAUGGAGCAUAUGAGAUGUUCGAAGAGCUGAAAAUGGUUUUCCAAGCUCAUGCCCGGGUCGAGAGAUAUGAAGUCUCCGACAAGUACUUCAGCUGUAAAAUGGAGGAAAAUAGUUCUGUUAGUGAGCACAUACUCAGAAUGUCUGGGUUACAUAACCGCUUGUCUCAGCUGGGAGUCAAUCUCCCGGAUGACGCGGUCAUUGACAGAAUCCUCCAGUCGCUUCCACCAAGCUACAAGAGCUUUGUGAUGAACUUCAAUAUGCAGGGGAUGGAAAAGACCAUUCCUGAGGUAUAUUCAAUGCUGAAAUCAGCGGAGGUGGAGAUCAGAAAAGAACAUCAAGUGUUGAUGGUGAAUAAAACCACUAAGUUCAAGAAAGGCAAGGGUAAGAAGAACUUCAAGAAGGACGGCAAGGGAGUUGCCGCGCCCGGUAAGCCAGUUGCCGGGAAGAAGUCGAAGAAUGGACCCAAGCCUGAGACUGAGUGCUUUUAUUGCAAGGGAAGUGGUCACUGGAAGCGGAACUGCCCCAAAUACUUAGCGGACAAGAAGGCCGGCAACACCAAAGGUAUAUGUGAUAUACAUGUAAUUGAUGUGUACCUUACCAAUACUCGUAGUAGCUCCUGGGUAUUUGAUACCGGUGCGGUUGCUCAUAUUUGUAACUCAAAACAGGAACUGCGGAAUAAGCGGAGACUGGCAAAGGACGAGGUGACGAUGCGCGUCGGGAAUGGUUCCAAGGUCGAUAUGAUCGCCGUCGGCACGCUACCUCUACAUUUACCUACGGGAUUAGUUUUAAACCUCAAUAAUUGUUAUUUAGUGCCAGCUUUGAGCAUGAACAUUGUAUCUGGAUCUCGUUUAAUUCGAGAUGGCUACUCAUUUAAAUCCGAGAAUAAUGGUUGUUCUAUUUGUAUGAGAGAUAUGUUUUAUGGUCAUGCCCCGCUGGUCAAUGGUUUAUUCUUGAUGAAUCUCGAACGUGAUGUUACACAUAUUCAUAGUGUGAAUACCAAAAGAUGUAAAGUUAAUAACGAUAGUCCCACAUACUUGUGGCACUGCCGCCUUGGUCACAUUGGUGUCAAGCGCAUGAAGAAGCUCCAUGCAGAUGGACUUUUGGAGUCUCUUGAUUACGAAUCAUUUGACACGUGCGAACCAUGCCUCAUGGGUAAGAUGACCAAGACUCCGUUCUCCGGAACAAUGGAGCGAGCAACCAACUUAUUGGAAAUCAUACAUACCGAUGUGUGCGGUCCAAUGAGUAUUGAGGCUCGCGGAGGAUAUCGUUAUGUUCUCACUCUCACUGAUGACUUAAGUAGAUAUGGGUAUGUCUACCUAAUGAAACACAAGUCUGAAACCUUAGAAAAGUUCAAGGAAUUUCAGAGUGAGGUUGGGAAUCAACGUGACAGGAAAAUAAAGUUCUUACGAUCAGAUCAUGGUGGAGAAUAUUUAAGUCAUGAAUUUGGUACGCACUUAAAGAAAUGUGGAAUCGUUUCACAACUCACGCCGCCUGGAACACCUCAGCGAAGCGGUGUGUCCGAACGUCGUAAUCGCACUCUAUUGGAUAUGGUGCGAUCUAUGAUGUCUCUUACCGAUCUACCGCUCUCAUUUGUGGGCUAUGCUUUAGAGACUGCCGCAUUCACUUUAAAUAGGGCUCCGUCGAAAUCCGUUGAGACGACACCGUAUGAAUUAUGGUUUGGGAAGAAACCUAAGCUGUCGUUUCUAAAAGUUUGGGGAUGCGAUGCUUAUGUCAAGAAACUUCAACCUGAAAAGCUCGAACCCAAGUCGGAAAAAUUCGUCUUCAUAGGAUACCCUAAGGAAACCGUUGGGUAUACCUUCUACCUCAGAUCCGAAGGCAAGAUCUUUGUUGCCAAGAAUGGGUCCUUUCUGGAGAAAGAGUUUCUCUCGAAAGAAUUAAGUGGGAGGAAAGUGGAACUUGAUGAGGUGAUAGUCACCCCUUCCGAACCGGAAAGUAGCGCAGCGCGGGAAGAUGUUCCUAUGGUGCCUACACCGACUGGGGAGGAAGUUAAUGAUGAUGAUCAUGAAGCUUCAGAUCAAGUUACUGUUGAACUUCGUAGGUCCACAAGGACACGUUCCGCACCAGAGUGGUACGGCAACCCUGUCAUGGAAAUCAUGUUGUUAGACAACGGUGAACCUUCGAACUAUGAAGAAGCGGUGGCGGGCCCGGAUUCCGACAAAUGGCUAGAAGCCAUGAAAUCCGAGAUAGGAUCCAUGUAUGAAAACAAAGUAUGGACUUUGACUGACUUGCCCGAUGAUCGGCGAGCCAUAGAAAAUAAAUGGAUCUUUAAGAAGAAGACAGACGCGGAUGGUAAUGUGACCAUCUAUAAGGCUCGACUUGUCGCUAAGGGUUAUCGACAAGUUCAAGGGGUUGACUACGAUGAGACUUUCUCACCCGUAGCGAAGCUGAAGUCCGUCCGAAUCAUGUUAGCAAUUGCCGCAUUCUAUGAUUAUGAGAUAUGGCAAAUGGACGUCAAAACGGCAUUCCUUAACGGCUUUCUUAAGGAAGAAUUGUAUAUGAUGCAGCCGGAAGGUUUUGUCGAUCCUAAGAAUGCUAACAAGGUAUGCAAGCUCCAGCGCUCCAUCUAUGGGCUGGUGCAAGCAUCUCGGAGUUGGAACAUUCGUUUUGAUGAGAUGAUCAAAGCGUUUGGGUUUACACAGACUUAUGAAGAAGCCUGUGUUUACAAGAAAGUGAGUGGGAGCUCUGUAGCAUUUCUCUUAUUAUAUGUGGAUGACAUACUAUUGAUGGGAAAUGAUAUAGAAUUCUUGGAAAGUAUAAAGGCCUAUUUGAAUAAGUGUUUUUCAAUGAAGGACCUUGGAGAAGCUGCUUAUAUAUUAGGCAUCAAGAUCUAUAGAGAUAGAUCAAGACGCCUCAUUGGUCUUUCACAGAGUACGUACCUUGACAAGAUAUUGAAGAAGUUCAAUAUGGAUCAGUCCAAGAAGGGAUUCUUGCCUGUAUUGCAAGGUGUGCAAUUGAGCACGGCUCAAUGCCCGACCACGGCAGAAGAUAGAGAAAAGAUGAGUGUCAUCCCCUAUGCCUCGGCCAUAGGGUCUAUUAUGUAUGCCAUGCUGUGUACCAGACCUGAUGUAAACCUUGCCGUAAGUUUGGUAGGAAGGUACCAAAGUAAUCCCGGCAUGGAACACUGGACAGCGGUCAAGAAUAUCCUGAAGUACCUGAAGAGGACUAAGGAUAUGUUUCUCAUUUAUGGAGGUGACGAAGAGCUCGUCGUAAAGGGUUACGUCGAUGCUAGCUUCGACACAGAUCUGGAUGACUCAAAGUCACAAACCGGAUACGUGUAUAUUUUGAAUGGAGGGGCAGUAAGCUGGUGCAGUUGCAAGCAAAGCGUCGUGGCGGGAUCUACAUGUGAAGCGGAGUACAUGGCAGCCUCGGAGGCAGCGCAAGAAGCAAUCUGGAUGAAGGAGUUCAUUACCGACCUAGGGGUGAUUCCCAAUGCGUCGGGCCCGAUGACUCUUCUGUGACAACGCUGGAGCUAUUGCUCUUGCCAAGGAGCCCAGGUUUCACAGGAAGACUAGGCAUAUCAAGCGUCGCUUCAACUCCAUUCGUGAAAGUGUUCAAAAUGGAGACAUAUAUAUUUGUAAAGUACAUACGGACCUGAAUGUGGCAGAUCCGUUGACUAAACCUCUCCCUAGAGCAAAACAUGAUCAACACCAGGACGCUAUGGGUGUUCGAUUCAUCACAAUGUAACUAGAUUAUUGACUCUAGUGCAAGUGGGAGACUGUUGGAAAUAUGCCCUAGAGGCAAUAAUAAAUGGUUAUUAUUAUAUUUCUUUGUUCAUGAUAAUUGUCUAUUGUUCAUGCUAUAAUUGUGUUAUCCGGAAAUCGUAAUACAUGUGUGAAUACAUAGACCACAACUUGUCCCUAGUAAGCCUCUAGUUGACUAGCUCGUUGAUCAACAGAUAGUCAUGGUUUCCUGACUAUGGACAUUGGAUGUCAUUGAUAACGGGAUCACAUCAUUAGGAGAAUGAUGUGAUGGACAAGACCCAAUCCUAAGCAUAACAUAAAAGAUCGUGUAGUUCGUUAGCUAGAGCUUUUCCAAUGUCAAGUAUCUUUUCCUUAGACCAUGAGAUCGUGUAACUCCCGGAUGCCGUAGGAGUGCUUUGGGUGUACCCAAUGUCACAACGUAACUGGGUGACUAUAAAGGUACACUACGGGUAUCUCUGAAAGUGUCUGUUGGGUUGACACGGAUCGAGACUGGGAUUUGUCACUCCGUGUGACGGAGAGGUAUCUCUGGGCCCACUCGGUAAUGCAUCAUCAUAAUGAGCUCAAUGUGACUAAGGAGUUAGCCACGGGAUCAUGCAUUACGGUAUGAGUAAAGUGACUUGCCGGUAACGAGAUUGAACAAGGUAUUGGGAUACCGACGAUCGAGUCUCGGGCAAGUAACGUACCGAUUGACAAAGGGAAUUGUAUACGGGAUUGAUUGAAUCCUCGACAUCGUGGUUCAUCCGAUGAGAUCAUCGUGGAACAUGUGGGAGCCAACAUGGGUAUCCAGAUCCCGCUGUUGGUUAUUGACCGGAGAGGCGUCUCGGUCAUGUCUGCAUGUCUCUCGAACCCGUAGGGUCUACACACUUAAGGUUCGGUGACGCUAGGGUUGUAGAGAUAUUAGUAUGCGGAAACCCGAAAGUUGUUCGGAGUGCCAGAUGAGAUCCCGGACGUCACGAGGAGUUCCGGAAUGGUCCGGAGGUGAAGAAUUAUAUAUGGGAAGUCCAGUUUCGGCCACCGAGAAAGUUUCGGGGGUUAUCGGUAUUGUACCGGGACCACCGGAAGGGUCCCGGGGGUCCACCGGGUGGGGCCACCUAUCCCGGAGGGCCCCAUGGGCUGAAGUGGGAAGGGAACCAGCCCUUAGUGGGCUGGGGCGCCCCCCCUUGGGCCUCCCCCUGCGCCUAGGGUUGGAAACCCUAGGGGUGGGGGGCGCUUGGCUUGGGGGGGAAGCCACCCCCCUUCCCCCUUGGUCGCCGCCCCCCCUUGGAGAUCUGAUCUCCCAGGGCCGGCGCCCCCAGGGGUCCCUAUAUAUAGUGGGGGGAGGGAGGGCAGCAGCACCACAGCCCCUGGCGCCUCCCUCUCCCCCUGCAACACCUCUCCCUCUCGCAGAAGCUUGGCGAAGCCCUGCCGAGAACCCGCUACUUCCACCACCACGCCGUCGUGCUGCUGGAUCUCCAUCAACCUCUCCUUCCCCCUUGCUGGAUCAAGAAGGAGGAGAUGUCGCUGCUCCGUACGUGUGUUGAACGCGGAGGUGCCGUCCGUUCGGCACUCGGUCAUCGGUGAUUUGGAUCACGGCGAGUACGACUCCAUCAACCCCGUUCAUUGGAACGCUUCCGCUCGCGAUCUACAAGGGUAUGUAGAUGCACUCCUUUCCCCUCGUUGCUAGUAUACUCCAUAGAUGGAUCUUGGUGAUGCGUAGGAAAUUUUAAAAUUCUGCUACGAUCCCCAACACUAACAUGUUUGAAGACUUCGUCUAGUCUCUCAAUCUCCUGAGUGGUCAAUAAAAUUCAUGUCCAUUUCUGAUGUUCUAAUAAGAACAUAACUAUUGUUGUCAUCAUAUAUUGUAUCAGCACAUUGGUACAAAUACAUUUGUAUGUAUUAUAUAUAUCUGACAGUGUUUUUCAUAUCGAAAAUCUUCAUGUCUAUAUAUAGAUUUCUACGGGGAUCAAUCUGAUGAAAGAUGAUUUGUGCCAUGUGGACAUAUGCACCACGAACUCUAUACUCAGGGAAGUGAAAUGUUUCCACUCUUGUUGAAAGAAAGGAGAUAUUUUAAAAUCGCUAGACGCGACGAGGUAUUUGUUGGCUCAAAUCGAGUCAUAUUUACUGUCCCUGUGGGUACUCGAGUAACGUCAGGAUGCUUUAUUGCUUCCGGGUUUAACUCAUACCCUACUAAACUAUAGAGGUAUCCGUCAAAAUAGUUUCCAUAGUGAAACUUAUGAUGACAACAAAGAGGAAUAUCUUCUCUUUACCAUAUGCAACGGAUAUGGCAAGCACAUUCUCUAUGUAUCAUCAUGGUUGUACUACACAUACUACACAACCCGUAGCACAUGUUGCGUACAAGAUAGUUUUCCAGAGUGUCUUGUACAUGACAAACUUGGCAUACUCGCCUUCGUCAUCGAGACAUUGGGUUGAAACCGAAACUAUCAGCAAUUUCAAUAGUUUAUAAUUAUUAUGAUGCUAAAUUCUAAUAACAUUUGGAUUUUAUGUGCACUACAAGUGACACAGGGAAGCUAAUUUUAAGGCUCUCACGCCUAAAGAUCUACGAUGAACCACUCCGACUCCUUGAAAGCAUCAAGUCGAGGUAAGUCGCUCUUCCCAACCAUUGAGUAGACUAUUCAGGUAUUCCAUGGUUCUAAAGGACAUAUCUACAUGAUGGUCUUAAGUGUGUGCUUUAUUCACACGGAACCAAUGGCUUAUUAUACUGACAUCGAUUUCAAGCAAAUCGAAUGGACAACAUUGUAGAAUUCUCCUCGUGCCUUCUCUAUGGCCUUCGGGUUGAAGUUUAGCAAUUUGUCCUAAUGUCUAUACUCAAAAUGGGUUGGUAGAAUCCUUUAUCCAAAGAGUUAAGCUCAUUGCAUUAUCUUUACUUUGGAAUUGCAACUUACCAACUUUACGUUGGAGUCAUGCAGUUUUACACGCUCAUGACCAAACUGCAUACUAUUAUUCCCCUCUAUCUUUGAUACGUGGAAAUCUACCAAGUAUUUCCCAUCUGCGGUAAUUCGGUUGCAUACCGAUAUCACCACCCAGCAUACAUCAUUGGCUCCUCAACAUAUAGUUGGGAUCUAUGUGAGGAAUAACUGUAUUUCCGUCAAUACCUCAAGCCCCUCGCAUGGGGAGUUAUUUAAGGCCAGUAUGUUGAUUCAAUGAGGAACAUUUCCAGGCAUUAGGGGGAGAUUUCAAGUACCAUAAAGAAUGCCGGGAAAUUAGUGGAAUGUUCAACACAUUUCUUCCUCAAUUCCACGUACUCAAAGAUCUGAACCAUGCGUUCAGAAGAUUUGCAACACAUUGCAAAUAAACUGUCAGAUUCAUUUACUGAAUAUAAAGGUGUCACACAAUCCUACAAUCCUGCAAAAGUAUGCCUGAAAGAGUGGAGGUACCAACAAAAACCACUCCACUCCCCGUUCGAUGCAACAGGGGGAGAUGUAUGGCAAAAGUACAUCAAGAUUCAGCUUCUCGCAAGCAAGGAUAUCAAGGCGUGUGAAUCAGUAAAUGCAAGUCAAUUUCACGUUGACAUACACCUAAUGGGUAGUAUACACCCAGUGGAUGGGAAACCUCCACCAACCUAGGUCAUAGUGCACACAAUGACCGGGACAUCGGAAUACCCGACUCAAUCGCAGGGAAAUCGCGAGCAGUCACUAUGGGUAACGAUAUUUCAAUCAACUAUAUAUUGAUAUAUAGAUUCUGGAGAAUCAUACAACCGGAAGUCUACAAUUGUCGACAUACAUUUCUCAACUAGAUUGCAAAAACCUUUUAAAUGAUUCAGAUCCAAAGACCAUGGCAAUGGCAAAGUGUGAACAACACUCGGACUGAACUCAAGCAAAGGGUAUAAUCUAGGUAGAAAUGAUUUUGCUCAAUAAUGGGAAGGUAUUCAUAAGCAAUACCUACACUAGUUUUCUUCUAGAAACAGAAUUGAGAACAAUGAGGUGGUGAAACAAAGAGCAAGUAUUGUAGCACAAGGGUUCACGCAUACCCAACUAUUCUCCAUAGGUGGAAUCUCUUUCCAAUAACUUAUAUCAUUGGCAGUUCAAAAUCAUCUAUCUCUGCAGUUGAUAGAUGUAGUGAUUACAUAUCCAUGAGGAUCACUAGAUUCAGACAUUUAUGACUGAUUCCCGAUGGAAUCUCAAUUCGGAAUCGAAGUACAAAAUGCAACAUACAUCGUGUAAAAUCAAUAAGUCACCAUAUGACUUAUUAUUAUCGUCGGUACAUUUGGUACAACCGAUGUAGUGAGUUCCUUAUUCACAAGGAUUACUCGUACAAUGAUGAUUAUCCAUGUUUGUGUGUCUGCAAUGACGACACAUGUAAUCAUCUAAAUGGCAGAGUUUAAAAUGAAGGAUUUGGGUAAACCAAAUUACCGCUCGUUACUACAAAUUGAGCACCUUCAUUCAUACAUUAUGGUAUACUAUGUUGUCUAUAUCCAUAAUAUAUUGGAGAAAUUCAUUGUGGACAAAUCUUAUCCAUCCAUAACUCUCAUGGCAGUUCAUUCUCUAGACGUAGAGAAAGAUCUAUUUAGACCAAGAGAUGAGGGAAAUGAGAUAUUGGGACCCAACGUUCCAUAAUGCCAUUGGAUCCACCAAACACAAUUGGUUGGCACUCAAGAAUAUCUUUCGAUAUCUCCAAGGCAUCAAACAUCUUGUCCUGGUUUUUCAGUUUCACAGAAAUGUGAACACCGAUAAUUGGAUACAUCAAUCAGAUCCCCACUAUGUCAGAUCGUAGACAAGCUUAGUGUUUCUACUAGGUGUGGUAGCCCUCUCAUGAAGAGUCUUCGAAGCAGACCUCAUGGCUACAUCCACCAACCAUUAUCUCAACGAUAAUGUUUCUUGUGUUGCCCGGAUGCAAACAGGUUACAUAAUAAGCAAUAUCGCUAUAUUGCAUAUCUUGCAAGUCAAACCAUAUGAAUGAUUUGUUCACGAAGUCUCUACCAACUUCUACAUUACAGAUAUAUGUUCUUGGAAUUGGUAUGUGACGGCUUUGAAAUUUGCAAGAAUCAGGGGGAGUAUCUUCCUGAAUUGUUCCUGUUCAAUGCAUCAUAUUAUACUCUUUUUCCCUUCGUGAGUUUACUAUACAUGUUUUCAUAAAAGUUUUUAAUGAGGUAAUAUCAACAUGAGAUCAUAUGUCAUACUUUCUGUUUUCCCCACCGGGUUUUUUUAGGAAAGUAUAUACGACAUAUCUAUUGUCCUCUAAAUUCUAUGAGUUUCUCAUAUUGAGUUGAAAGAGACAAUAACCAUUAUAUGUUGCAUCAUCUUUCUCCUUAUUUUUCCGGAGGGUUUGAAGGAGUUUUUAGCAACAUAUCAAACUCUUUUCUCCUCAUAUUUUUCCCACAGGAUUUUUGGAGGAGUCUCUUUCAAAAUGAUGAUGCUACCUGGACAAGCAUGGAUUAGGGGAGUGUUAAGAUUAAUUAACAUAGUAAUUAAGGGAUUAAUCCUUGCUUGUAUUAACCUUUGGCGGUUACUUUUCCAACCGUUGCGUCGGUUAUGUCUGAACCGACACCCCCUUUGUAAACGCUUGUUCCAGUGCUACAUAUAGCACUUCAUCUAAUGCAAAGAGAUAGUUCGAUCAUUUGUUCUGUCGAUCUCGAACAUAACCAAACAUGGCACCCCUCGUGGGCUAAAGUAGCCCAUCUAGCCAAAUUACGCGCUUCUACAUUCCCUUCAUGGAUACCCUCACAUUACCAUGCUAUGAAGCUUGCAAAUGACUUAAGUUUGGCGAUGUGGAGAUCCUCGGCGAGACCAUCGCCUCACUCUCUGCAAGCUUCAAGUGCUUGAUCGUUGGUGCUGUCAAACACAACUGCCGAUGCGCCUAAAAACAUCGAUAGCGAGCUCUGGAAUUCUUGUUCAUGAAUCGUGUGUCCAAACUCUAACCAAACAGAUAUAUCCUACCCCCUCCGUUCCAUAAUAUAAGAGUGUUUUUGACACUAGUGUAGUGAAGGGAGUACAUCUUAGAGGAAAAUAUACGAGCAUCACCUAAAUGGUUUCUGAGGCCCCAGGAUGAUAUGAGCUCACCAUGCAAAAAAAGGAUGAUAUGAGCUCAGGUCUGGCCUUCUAAGACUAGCCACAGUGGGGAGUAACUUAACUAGUAACAUGCAUAUGUUACUACCUCUAUAGUGGGGAGUAACAUAUGUGUGGUGUCAUGCAACACUUCAUUUAUUAGGUUAUAGACUCAUUUUUCUUUGGUAAAUGUGAUGUUACUCAUACUAUAACCGAAAAUGCCAAACGGUGACCGAGCUCCGUGGAGGCCUUUAUUUGAAAACUUCAAUUUUUUUUAGUUUCAAAAAAAUUCUGAAAGUAAAUACACCUAUACCUAGAUACAUAAUGUACAUGUGUGCAAAUUUUCAGGUUAAAAUUAAAAUGUGAGCUACACAAAAAAGACAAAUCUAGAGCUUUUUAACAUAUGUACUGUUCAUCUUUAAAGUCCAUGAUUUGUUUUUUUUGUGCAGCUCGCAGUUCAAUGUAUUUCAUCCUGAAAAUUUUCACACAUACACUUUACAUCCUUGUAUACAUGUGUAUUUUUUUCAGAAUUUUUCGAAACUGAAAUAUAUGAAUUUUGAAUUUUUCAAAAUAAAGGGCUCCAUGGAGCUCGUCUUCAAAAUGCCCUACUCCACCACUAACUAGCCAUGUUACCACAUGCCUCUCUUUCUUUAUUAAUUAUUUGCCACAUCAUCUAUUUUAUCUAGAUAUGUGUGAUGUUACCACCUAUAUUACUCCCACUGUGGGUAGUCUAAAGUCAACUUGAAUAAAGUUAUACAUAAAUUUCGAAUGAGUUUUACAAAACUCUCACACACUCGUCCGCUUUGUCCACCUUGCAAUGUUCGACGCGGGCGAAAUGUGCCGCCAACGCCCUCCCAAUUCUACACACCAGUUUAUAACAAGAACCUGAGCGCGCGACCACACUAUUAUUUUCCCACAGCGCAUACCAUGUACUCUCUCCAUUCCAAAAUAAUUGUACUAAAGUUAGUACAAAGUUGGGUCAUCUAUUUUGAAACAGAGGAAGUAUAUUUUAUAAUAAACUAGCAAAAAUGCCCGUGCGUUGCAACGGGAAGAAAGAGAAACAUCACAUGACUAACCCCCUCCUGCCACAAAAAUAGGUACAUGGCAUCUAUUUCAAAACAGCACCCCAUGUUACCGCUUAUCCCCCCUCCCCCCUCAUUUGAAAUGAAUGACAACAGGAAAUGUGCCCGUGAGUUGCAACGGAAGAAACAAAUCCUCAUAUGCGCUUAGCAACUUAUUCUAUUAUGAUAUCAUUUCUCCUCCAUGUCACCAUCGCCAAUGAUGCUUAUAUUGUCCAUCUAUUCACGACUAACAUGAUCAAUCUAAAGUGAUGUGCUUGUGAUCAUACUAUGGCAUAACGCUCGUGCGUCGCUAUAGAGUAAACACUGAACAAUGGGUUCUCUUCCUCGUGCGAUGGUGAAGGGUGCCACUGUGCCAGCGGGUCUAGCGUGGCCAACUUCUGCUAGGCGGCACAUGCUUUGUCGAGCACCUUAAAAUCGUGAGGUCCUCCUCCUUGAUUUGGCGUAUAUAGUAAAACAUGUCAUUGAUGCAACUAGGGCACCACCGAUCCGCCGGUCACCUCGGCACAGGAAACAUAUUGUUGACUGGGAGCAAAUAAUAACAAGAAACAUAUAAAUCAGAAUAGCCUUUUUACUUAUUUUUUUUGCGAAAAGAGAAUUUUACUUACCUUUGCUUUUCUAGGCAGGUCUACCAAUUAAUGCACGGCCGUUGUACGUUUUACAUGAGUCCAUAGUAUUGGAUCGAUUUUCUUUAAUUUGCAUGCAGGUGUACCAACUAUGCACGGCUGUUGUGCAUAUGUUUGACAGUCCCUAGACGCACGCAAUAUGAUCUCGCGCAGCUCAUCAGCUGCCGCCGCCGCCCGUUGCCUGCCUUGCGUCGCCGGAGCUACAGCGGCGCCAUGGCCACGGCCACGCGACUGGCCGACCUGGAACGCAAUUCAUGUAUAGCCCACUGUGUGUUCCUCGCCUCAUUGGUCCUUGAGAUAUUAAUUUCCAUCUCCUUCCUUGUGUACACAUUUCUAAGAUUUUUGUUUCCACGUCUCUCCCAUUGGCCCAUAUUAUAUUUCCAUAUCCUUCCUUCCUUUUUUCUCAUAGAAGAGAAUUUAUGCCCUCUUUAUUCCUUUCCUUCCUGGACCAUAUCGAAAUUGAUUCCCUCUUUUAUGACUUUUCUUUCUGUCAAUUGAUUUUUCAGGAGGCUAAUUGACAUCAAAUUAUAAACGUAUAUAAGUUGUUCUGAUGCAGUAUAAGCAAGCGAGGUGGGACUAUUUAAUAAGUUAACAAAUAAUCUUUUCUAUUAACAACAAUGAUGUAACUCAGAUGGACUUGGGCUUUGUGUUAGUAUCUCAGGUCGGAAGUUUGAUCCACCACGCCAGCUCCUAUUUUUUGCCUCCUCAGAUCGGACGGGUCUGAUGGGCUGAGGCCUAGGCGCGCCGAAGCCCAAUGCAGCAACCAAGUGUAAGUUCUUAAAUAGAUUUUUGGACCAUUAGAAAUUUAGUACCACCUCAAAUAUGUUUUAAAUUCAAACUGAAAGCUUAAAAUCACGUGAAGAAGCGUAUUGUGACGGUGAACCCACAGAGUCAAUCCGUGCUUUAUUAUAUAAAAAUAAAAUAAUAUAUAGGCGUCAUAUCCUAUGAAUCUGCCUAUGUUCGUGCACCCCUGCAUCCCUUCGCUACCAUCCCUCCGAAUCAAAUCCUGCGUCUGUAGUUUGUCGGCUCAAUUCUUGCAAAAAGACGCCCGCCUCCAACCCAGCUCACCUAUGCGAUUUGCGAAAAGAGCCCUCAUCUCCUGGGCCUGUCUCCCACCUCCGGCUCCUGAAUCGUUCAGAUCAGCACGGCGGAGAAAAUCUGCUCCCAUGAUGCAUUGCGACCCAUCUGGCGGCCACCGCGAUUAUGGACGGAGAAUCUUAUUUUAUGAUAACAGAAACUUGCUUUCCCUCGUCCCUUUAGACAUCAGAACGGCCUAAUUUUUUUUUCCCAUCUACUUAUUCAUCUGCAGACCCAUCUCCCAUGCCGUGAUCUGUCUCUCUAAAUUCUACAUCUGCAGAACGCGAACUGUACUUGUUGUUUGGAAGACUUAUCGUGUAAAUACAUUCCUUGAGCCACGAAAUUGGUCAUUAUCUUGCAAACUCCAACAAAGUGAGGGAGAAUAUAGUGCACCAAAAAUGGAAGCAAUCCUGUAUUCGUCAGUUUGAUAAGAGUGGUUGGGGUCAUGUAGCGAAGGACAACCAUUUGUUAUGUCUUAUGGGAAUCUUCAGAAACUACAGGAUGCAUAUCAAGCUGAGAUGGAGGCAUGUACUCAAACACUCUGAACCUAGCUACUGAAGUUGCAAACAGUCGAGACAAAUGCUCAAAACCUGAAGCAUGCUCAGAAAUUUCGUGCCUAUGGCCAGCAGCUAACAGUUAGAAGAAAUUACAAGCAUAGCCAUUAGGUGUUUAGUGCCGGGAGCAGCAUGUAUCAUAGGCAAAUAUUUGCCAUCAGUAUAUCAGACUUGUAAUAUAAAUUGCGCAGUGCAAAUCAAGCAUGGAGCACCUCCGAUUACAAAACAACAUCAGCAUCGAAAAUGACAUUGACCAAAACGAAAGUAGAACCAACAGAUUAUUUCAGAAAUUUACAUUCACCAACACAUGCCAGUCACAUCUCGCGGGGCACUAAUCGGCAAGGGCCAAGGGGAGAUCAUCUAAUAGGGCUAGCUAUGUGGACGUAAACGUAGUCAUCCAAAUUUCGUGCUCACGGGCUGCCAUCGACGAGAUGUGAAGGCGGCCGAUGAGACGGCCAGUCGGCCACACACAUGGAUCUCCGUCUUGGGCUGUCGUCGCUGGGAUCUAUGAGCCGCCUCUGGCGUGUCUCCAUCGACGCAUGCGCCGCAUGUCGUCGGUGGGAUGUGGUAGCCAGAUAUCUAGGUCCUGUUUGCAACCGGAGUUGCCGAGUUGGACUGGCAGGAGAAUGAUUCAGGAGCCGGAGGUGGGAGACAGGCCAGGGGAUGAGGGAUCUUUUCGCAAAUCGCAUAGGUGAGCUGGGUUGGAGGCGGGCGUCUUUUUGCAAGAAUUGAGCCAACAAACUACAUGCGCAGGAUUUGAUUCGGAUGGAUGGUAGCGAAGGGAUGCAGGGGUGCACGAACAUAUAUAUAUUAAAGAUAAAGAUUAAAGAUAAAUAAUUUUAUAUGAACUAGCAAACAUGCAUGUGCGUUGCAACGGAAGAAUCACACACUCAUAGCUUAUAACCAUGCCUUAAUCCCUCCCUCCCAAACAAACAUGUCCAUAUCUUCUAUUUCAAGAUGACUUUCUCAAGGAGGCUCGAAUAUUCUCUCUUUGGCAUGUCCUCUCCUCCGUUGCUCCAUCCCUCAAUGCGAAUAAAACCGAAGCCAAAAUCAAUCGUCCAUCCUAUUUGACCCUUCUUGUUCUCGAGGCACUCGCCCACUGGGAAGGAAGCUCAAUAGCUCAUAUUUCUACAACCACUACAUGGUUCAUCGGUGCUUCGAUACGGAGCCAACAUCAAUUACCAUAAAUCAGAAUUAGCCGAGUCAAAGGGUCAAGAUUCACAUUCGACGAGAUUGAGAACGCCUAAUAGGAACUUUCAACAAAGAUUAAUUUCCUUGCAUAAUUUUCCACCUUCCUCCAUCCUGCCGCUAAUAUAAUAUAAUAGGGAAGAGUGAGAAGUUAGUGUCGGAAACAGGAGAGAUUUUUUUGAUCUGAUCCGCUAUCUUCGCUUUUGAUUCCAUUCGGAUUCUGACUCAUCGUGUCGAAAGACGCACUCCACCACGGCCACAUCCGGACGAUUUUGUCUGGCAAAGAUUAUCACCGCACAAGACCCGACCUAAAUUGUAAGAUCAGGAAAAAAAACUACAGCAUGGACCAAAUCACAAGAGGUUUGGAUCUAGGGUUGAUGUUAGCAAACAAUAUGUACCCUCGUGCUUUCAAUUAUUAACCCAGCAGUCGUAUGAAUAUACUUGGUUCAGAGAAAAUCAGUAUAAUUUCUUUUUGAAAAGAAGAUCUAAAGCAUACUGAGUAAUAAUCAAACAUCGGGUUUUUAAGGAUGGGCGUAGAUCAAACCUGCAUGAUUCCCACAUCAACUUGAGUGCAACAGGAGAUACAUACGUGUCGAUGCAGAGGCCAAAGCAAACAUUAGCAGAUGAUGAGCUGCCGCCGGCGAGUACUUUUUCAACUCCUUGCAUACGUACGUGUAGAGAACAAACCAAACAUGAUGAUGUGAUGAAGCUGCCGCCAACAAUUACUUGUCGUCGACUCUCUCGCAUGCAUGCGCCUCACAAACGCUUCACCUUUCGUUGGGUAAUUAAGUGCCAAAUAGACGUUCAUCAACACCACGACUUGAUCAGGACUUGAUUAGGAAGCGCCCUAUGACUGUCUUUUGCAUGUACCUGAUGAAACACUGGGGCUGUCAAAUAGAGUUCCGGUUCGAUGUCCGGAGGGGGUGGGUGUAGGUGCUCCGGUGGUGCCUGUUAUAUGCCUCCUCGUCGAUGGUGUUGGUGAACUUGUCCACUGUGGCUCCGCGCUGACGAGGUCAGACACCAGCUUGACAUAGGAACAUGGCUUCCUCGCCUCGCCGUUAGGCAGCUCGAUGGCCUAAGUAAUCAUCCGACCAGCACUGAUCAUGAUUCAUGACUGUGGAUGAAGACCGUGGGCAACAGAGUAAGGACAGUACAUGCAAACAAAAAGUGCAUCUAGGCAUAUCGAUGAGAAUCAGGUUCAAUACCAUGGCGGUACUAUACCUGUACGAUGUAUUUACCUGGCAAUAUCUAUGUUGAACUCGUAGAGGAGCUACUCAUAGUUGGAGAAGAUGAGCGAGUUGGCCUCGGAGGUGGCGAUGAUCCACUCGUACGCAGUCUUCAGUAAAUCAGGGCUCGUCGUCAUCAUACAGUCAUGCUGGAUGUUCAUCCUAGCUGAGUGUUCUUUCUCCAGGUCCAGUCCAACCAGCAUCAUCGGCAGGACACAAUGAAUCCACCAAGCGCUGCUGGUUUGCGGCCACCUCUAAUCUGUGUCUGUACGCCGACGCAGCGCUCGGUCAUGGAGCUCCGUCGUUCCUUCGCGUGGGACUGUGAUCGUGCAGGCCUCAGAUUGUAGUCGAUGUAGGAUCGAGCCGCGGGGGCUCGCAUCGGCGGUUGAGCCGAUCGACCUCAUCGACGGAACCUUGAGUAGGCGAGACACAGAUCUUGUCAGAUGCAUCGGAGGUAGCUAUCGCCAAUGACCUAACCCACCGUGAUCUCCUUUUCGUCUCAAAUAGGUACAAACAGAGACGGUCAGAUUAAGGAAGGGAUAUUACACGGUAGGAUUCCAAUCCGAGUCGUCAAGAGUUGUUUUCCUUUUUUCCAUCGAGUCCAGCAGGACAUGCCUAGUUCAUUGGGUCUGUCUAGGACACAUCUAGUUAUGUCACAUCUAAGCUAAUGUUCACUCUGUUUGUGGUCUAUUUUUUUGUCCUAGUUUUUUUAUUUCUUAUUGCUACAUUAUAUACUCGUGGAAGCUUAGAUUCGACAUCCUUAAAAAAAAUCUAGAUGUGAAUUAGACAAACUGUAGUUCAUUUUUCCUUUAUUCUUCAUCAAGCCAAACGUGUAGACUUUGUCUGCAGUGCUUUUGUGUUUUUUUUUCCCUUACACGUGUGUAGAGCAACAUGUAUAGGACAAAAAAAAUCACCUAAACGGGGUAGACGAAAACAACAAUCCAGCGGGGAUAUAUAGAUAGAUUAGUACCACCUUGGAUAUAGAAAAUAAAUAUAGACGUGUUGAAGAAAAAAACUGAAAGCGUAAAUACACGGGAAGAAACGUAUUGUGACGGUGAAUCCGACAAAGUCAAUCCGUGCUUUAUUAUUAUUAUUAAUUAUUAUUAUUAUUACAUUAUUAUUAUUAUUAUUAUUAUUAUUAUUAUUAUUAUUAUUAUUACUAGCAAAAAAGAGCCCGUGCGUUGCAACGGGACACAAAUUUUAACUUAUUAAUUCCUCUAGAAAGGAUGAACGGGUUAAUUCUGCAUCUUUUGAAUAGUAAUGCUUAAUUUGUGUGAUGCUUGAAUUGGAUGGUGAACAACAAAAACUCACCUCAUCUCUCAUUUUUCCUAAUGUCUAUCCUCUGCUAGCUUCAUGAAGAUGACCUCUUUGAAUACUCUACAUAGUACCUGUAGAAAGCAAAUAAUAUGAUUAGUAUUGGAGAACAAUAGUUGGGUAAAUAAAAUAUGAUGCUAUUCUUUUCAUUACAGAGUGAUGUGCCAGUGGAAAGUACCCAUAUGCAUGUCUUCACUCUUAACAAUUUCAUGCCACGAUUGCAUUCGCAAUCUAGGGAGAACUUUUCUCAGAUAAUGGGGAAAAGAUCAAACUCUCAGAUAAGAUUUAUUUUUCUCUCUGAUGAAUUUUUUGUAAUAACGAAAAAACUAUCAUAAGAUCUCUUUUCCGGUCUGAUCAAUUUUUGUAAUAAUGAAGCAACUAUCAACUAUUGGAUGAAAUGAAUUAUCCAAAAAUAUAGGGAGAAUUAUUUGAGUGAAGCUAUAAGAAAUGAAUAAAGUCAUCCAGUAAGUUAGUCCACAUGAAAUCAAUGAACAUACUUCUCAUGUCGCUGGCAGAUUACCUUUGAUAAACUAUAAGCAAAUAGUUAUAGUUUUCUUGUCAAGAAAGGCAAACAAAAUCCAUCAGAAGACGUUAACUUACCAUGGAAUUGUAUGUUUGUGUAUCUUAUCGACAGAAGGUCUUAGCAACUGUCAAGUUUGGCAACUAAGCAGUGCCAAGUAAUUUACUUCAUAAUUAUGCACUCUAACAGGUAGCAAUAGCAAGGUAUUUCAGCGUUAUUCCCUUUCGAAUAUAACGUUAUCGCCAUCCCUUCCAUCCGUCCUCUGAUCUCCCUCUCCCUGGUGAUCAACAUUAUUAGAAUUCAGAAUAGGACCAACAGUUUCUUACUUUACUGAACCCGAAAAACCAUCGAGCGACCAGAGGCACAGCCACACACGCACACACGCGGAUUCCAUCGCCAUCAAUUUUCUUGAAUGGAUAGAUAGAUAGUACACUACAUCAUCCAAUACUAAAAAGUAUUAGUGGUCUUCCGCUCUUCCUUGUUGAAGCCUUGUCUGAAGUACAUCUAGCCCCAUCAACUCAAAGGGAAACAAAAGAAGAAUUCAAAAUCGCGAUUGCUGCUAUCGAUCACAGUCAUGGCUCUUCACAAGCUUCUGCCGGCCUCCGUGCAGCCGCCCUGUAGAGCUACUCCACCGCGGCCGCACACUUCGACGGCGGCGCAGCGAGGGCAAAGGCCAAGCCGGUUGGCUACCUCGGCUGCUGGGAUGAUCGGGCUAUUGUUGGCGCUGGGGCUGCACACGGCGCGCCAGCAGCUCGCAAAACAUCUGCCUCGACAAGCUCAAGUUGAGAUCGUGGGCUCGUGGCCGAGGUAGCGGACCUUGACCUCGCCCUCCAUGACAUCGAGCGUUUUCAUGGCAGCUCCAUGUUCCAGAUGGUCGCCCACGUCCGGGACGAUCGCUCUCUCGCCGGAUCUUGGUAUGGUGGCGGCGAUGGAUCCGUGGAGGUUGAAUUUUUCUGCGGGGUGGGAGAUGAAAGAAGAACGUGCGUGUUGGCCGACUUAGGAACGGAGGACGUGUUCAGAUCUGUCUUGUUUUGGGCCUCUGAUUCGUCUUCUAAUCGGUCUCUUCGUUCGAUUUGUUUGUUGGGCCGAACACGUUGAAGCCCAAUAUGCUAUAGGUCACUUGUGUUCGAUCUGAGCGGACGGAAUUUCGAUGGUAAGAAGCAAUAGUAUCACCUCGGAUGUAGAAAAUAAUAUAGGUGAAAAAACUGAAAACGUAAAUUCAUGGGAAGAAGCUCUUCUAAUCGGUCUCUUCGCUCGAUUUGUUUGUUGGGCCGAACACGUUGAAGCCCAAUAUGCUGUAGGUCGCUUGUGUUCGAUCUGAGCGGACGGAAUUUCGAUGGUAAGAAGCAAUAGUAUCACCUCGGAUGUAGAAAAUAAUAUAGGUGAAAAAAACUGAAAACGUAAAUUCAUGGGAAGAAGCGUAUUGUGACGGUGAACCCGACAAAGUCAAUCCGUGCUUUAUUGGGAAGAAGCGUAUUGUGACGGUGAACCCGACAAAGUCAAUCCGUGCUUUAUUGGGAAGAAGCGUACUGUGACGGUGAACCCGACAAAGUCAAUCCGUGCUUUAUUAUUAGGGAGAUAUAUAUAUAUAGGAAAUAGGAAAUAGGAAAAUUGCCCGUGCGUUGCAACGGGAAUACACUCUGAACAUGUUGUCAUUGCAUUGCAGCCAAAUAAAACAUGCAAAUAAAAACAAUUUCUCCCACAAAAAAAGAUCUAAAAUUAUUUAAAGGGCGAUAAAGGAUGGAACAUCGGCAAAAAAAGUACUCCUUUUUGUUAUUAUAAAAAUAGUCAACAAACCAGCGAUUUGCAUAUGAUAGUAAUUUAGAUUCUAUUUUUGAUUUCAUAUGCUAUUUAAUUUGGGAAACACAAAAUAUCAAAGUUUUUCUUCAAUUUAAAAUAUUAGAAUUAAAAAUUCUGCUGUCAAAUAUAUCAGUAUAAAAGCAUGUAAAAUUUAGUUUUAUCUUCGAUAAGAAGUACACAUUGGAUGCAUAGUGAUUAUGGAGGAGAUUUUUGCAAGUAUGACAAAAAAUAAUCAUGUACAUAUUUCAAAGAGAAGUUCCUAUUUCACCAAUAUAUAACAGCGAUCCAACCGCAUGGUCACCCGAUUUGUUGAAUACAUUUAACCUUCAGAUGUGAAUGUGCAUCUUACGAUAUGGUAUCCUUGCAACUAAACCUCUAAACCUCUAGAACAUGUAUAGAACCAGAUGAAUUCACGAUUAAAUCUAGCUAAUAAUUUUGAAUGUGCCAAAACCAAUUUAUAGACUGAACCACUCCACUACAUCAGAUUGCGCAGUGCCAUCCAGCUCAAAAGAAAAUAAAAUUGCAGUGCGCGCCAUCCAUGUGUAAGACCAACCGGGAGAGAAUUCUUCACCUCGGUGAUAGCCCGUGCCUCACCUACGUGUUGGAUAUUCCGAACUCUCAUACCUACGUGUUGAUGUCGUUUAGUAUGUGUCAUACGCCGAGUUAGCAAGUCCUGAUCUAUGUAAUCUGCAUCUGUAAGUACAAGAAAAAAUUAUCGUUAUCAAGGUUAUGGCCUGAGGCAAACAAUUGAACUAUUGAUCUAGUAGCUAUCUCAUAUGUGAGAGUUUCGUCUUGGCCAAACUGUGAUCAGCCUGUAGUAGCUUGGUGUACGGCAAAUCGAUCCGAUCAAAGGAAACCAUGCACAGCUAACUGAGAUUUUUUACACACCUUAUAAUUUAUAUAGCAGCUAGCCUAAAUAAAAUAAGGCUUUACCAUAUUGACAUACUGUUCUAAACUUCAUCUAACCCAUUAACUAUUGCCAACAAAGAGAUUUAGCUAAUUGAAAUGUAAGCACAUUGAGCUUGCAAUUGCAGGUAGUGCGCAAAGCAAUUAGGAAGUAGCUAGGGAAUGUUGGAUAUUCCGAACUCCCAUACCUACGUGUUGAUCUUUUUUCUGGGUCCCAAGUCAUAGUAGGUAUCAUCCACCGAGUUGGCAAUUUCUAAUGUAUGUAAUCUGCAUCUAUAAAGUUUUGCCUGCACAUCGGACAUACAUGCCUUUGCCCAAGCAUCAGGGAAAGGUGUGCGUGUUGUCAUCAUUGAAUCUGCGGACAACCAAAAAGUUAAGAUCAAUCUCCAUGCUCAACAUAAUCCGCAAAAAUCAAGUGACUAUUUCCCGUCUCGAUCUCCUCGCUCUACUCAACCAUGGUAGGCGACAGAGCCAGAACAGGGAAGCUUGUGUGGGCUGGAGGCUGUCCACCAGGAGGGCCUGCACGGGAGCCGGCAGGCGUCUGUAGCAGGCCGUGAGCCGUAUUGGAUGGGAGAGGAAAGGGGUGUGGAGCAGUGAGCAGCGCCCCGAGGGAGUGGAGAUAGAGGUACCAGGGAGAGGCGUCGGCAUCCUUGCGCACAGAAGCGCUAGGCGGUGGCGGAGAUCCUGCGGGAGGCGCCAAGGUGGCGAGGUGAGUCUCCGGCGGGGUCGCGCAGAAUCAGGGCAUCCACCGGCGGGCGGCGUGCUCCAAGGAGCUGUCGGCCGAGGCUCCGUCUUGGAUAUCGAACGGCGGCGAGGGGCUACGACGACGACUGGGGAUGGGAGAGGGUGGAGAGGGUUGCUGGGAGCGGAGGGAUGGGGCGCGGCGGCGGAGGGAACCCUAGCGCCGGGCGGCCGGGAUGGUUCGUGUUCUCGUGGGGAUAGAGAGACGGGCAUAUGUAGAAUCCUUUUUUUCCUGUAGAAUUGUUUUUGUUUCACUUAAGAGAUGAACCAUCAUGGAGUGCGGGUUGAUUUUAAAAAGAGUGAGGGGCCUUUGUGUAAAAACGCCGCGACGGUGAACCCGCCGGACCCAAUCGGUGCUUUAGAGAUUACUAGCAAAAGGGCCCACUACUGAGAUCAUAUAAUGUAUAGCCCACCUUGUUUAUUCAAAAUCAAAUAAAACUGACCACUGGUUGCACUUAACAAUUAUUCAUGCUAAUAUAAUACAUUUAGUUGAUGGCUUACAUGAGACAAGCUUUAGAGACAACAGUUUAUUCCAAAAAUCUUAGUUUAAAUUUAGCAUUUGAAACUUCCAUUAUUCGUCGCAUAAAUACAAAUUGUGACUCUGUUUUUGUUUGGGAUUUUCAUUUUAGACCAACAAUACAUUAACCAUUAAAUUAGAAAUUGUUCUUCUGAAAUUAGUAUGACAUGUGACUGCUCCAGCAGAAUACAUAAACCAAUUUAAUUUAAAUAACACAACAAACAAUUACAAAAAACAGGUGGGCUGCUUAGCCAUGUAAUCUACGAUCUGCCUUGAGCUGUACUGCAACAUGCCCGUGCGUUGCAACGAAAGAAAUAAAAUCAUUGGCGUAAUAAUAAUUGUUUAAGACACUCUAUGGGUACAUGCCCAUCACUUCAAUAUGGUGAAGCACUAAUAGCAUAAGCAGUGAAAGCUUAAUUUACAAUUCAACUUUAAUAGUGCCAAAAAUAGUUACUAAGACAUGCAUUAUUUCAUACAUAGAUUUAUAGCUAUAGUGUAUCUACUGCUAGUGUCGAUUUUUAGCAUGUUAAUUGUAGUCUUUGUGCACAAAAUAAGAGAGUUUUUUACUAUACAAAAUCUCAUUGAUGACAUUUCCAACAAAAUUUCUGCAUUUUCAAACCUUAUUUUUGCUGGUACAAUUUUAAAUUGAGGAAAUCUAAGGAGGCUAAUAAUUAAUUUAGGUUACCUCAAAUUCAUUCUUUUUCUUAGAGAUAUUGAAAAUUUAUUUUGUCAUUGUGAGUUUAUUAAUUUUUGUGACACAAAGUCUAUUUUUUACAUGAUCUUGGUUGGUCAUUGUACCCGAAAUAGGAUUAUCUUUGUGGCAAAACAAAGACUCAUGUGUAUAGUUAGUUUUUUCAUUAAGAGUAAGAGCGUCCUGUGCGUACGUGUACAUCUACACUUUUUCUUCCCGCAAAAAAAAUGUAUAUCUACAUUUUUUUGGGGUCGCGCUCAUGCAGCUAUAGCGGCAGUCUUCAUCAGGUACCAUGAAGAUUGUCUUCGUCAGGGAAGACCCAAUCCAAUCCACCUCCACGUCUCAACAGCGCAGCGACCGCAUGCCACAGCUCCCGCGUCCCGCACCGCCGGCUAGCAGCGCCUGCCGCGCCCUUGCGUCAGGUUGCAAGAUGGACGGGUCAUCCCGCCGCUCCGCCGUCAAACAAAAACCCGCAAAGCUGCCACAGGGCUGACUGCAUCAUCACAAACGGGUUCAAGCGGACACGCCGCAUUGUCCGGCGGGCGUCGCAACAUUCCGCGUAUGCUCCGUCCAAUAAAAAUACAGAAUAACUCGUACUACCAGCCUACUCUCUCUGAUCGGGAGAAUCCACAAGCAGCUAUCAAGCAAACUCCUCGUCACCGAUUCAACUUGAUUGCAUGGAGUUAAACCGUAUACAACGCUGGCCGUCGAUGUCUUGUCAGGCGUCAGUACAUCCCCUGUCCAUCCUCAACAGGAUCACAUACCACUACCAGAUUCAGAUGGCCACCAUGUACGCCUUCGCCGACGCCGGCUCCGCCGCCAUCGAGAAGGGCCGCGCGGCUGUGCUCGCACAGUACUGCGCCUUUGCAGGCCAGCUCCUCAAGUGUCUCGGCAACGUGCCGGUGUGGGGUCCUAAACGACCGCAGCGUGCGUGCGCUCUUCCAGUCCUCAGUACGUGCCCAACCGCAAAGUCUGCGGCUGUCCGCGACAUGGAAAGAGAGAAGCUGGUGGCGGACUGUGCUGCUGGUACCUGAGUUCCUCUGCUCUGUGUUGUGUUCGUCGCCAACAGCACCAGCGUCCAGCACCCCGCCGACCGACGAACCCCGCCAUCCGCCGCGUCCGGAGCUGGCCUCCACUCUGGAUCUGUCGUCCCCAUCAACACAAGCCACCGCACCCUCCUGAUCGCCAGUCCCGAUGUGCAGCCGCCGCCGACAUAGUCUACCUCGAUCACUGCCCCGGCCCCUCCCUGCCUGCCUCUAUGUGGUGUGUUCAUCGCCGGCAGCACGAGCACCCUGCCGGCUGCCGACCGUCGAAUCCCGCCAUCCGCCGCGUCUGGAUUGUCCCCUCCUUGCCUCUAUGUUAUCUUUUCUUUCUUUUUGAGUGGGAUUUAUCGGGUCUCUCUUGGCUGAUUUUAUUUAAAGAAGCGAUAUGGGACUAAUAGAAAUCGAAUCUCAUGCUAUCAUAGUACCGUGCGGCUGGCUACUUCCCCAUAGAUGGAAGCCGAGGUUGGGAGUUUGAUUCACAAGUGGAUUGGAUUAGUUUUCAUUCUUUUUCCGCCUUGACGGUGGCAGGAGCCGGCCAUCAGGAAUCGUUUUUCCAUCUUGACGAUGUGGCCGAGGCAGCGUGCGGAACAUCAGGUUGAGGCCCAGUCUGUUGGGCGCGUAGCGGCCUUCGGACUAAAUUUUCGUAGACGAUGGAUAAAAAUUCCAUAAAAUUAGUACCACCUCGUUUAUAUUACGAUUUUGUCUAUACAAAUCGUAAAAGCGUAUUAUGACAUGAGAAGAAAGCGUAUUAUGACGGUGAACCCGACAAAGUCAAUCCGUGCUUUAUUAUUAUUAUUAUAUAUUAUAUAUAUAUAAAUAAUAUAAUAAUAUAAUAAUAUAUUAGGGAGGGAUAGAUUAUAUUUAUUAUAUAUAUAUAUAUAUAUAUGGGAAAAUGUUUUCGUUGUUAGAUCAUCUUUUUUUUUUUUGAAUUAUCCUCCUGGCCGAUUGAGCUGGCUACGAUCCGGUCCAAGCACGAAGAGGGCGCAAAACCGGGCCAGGCCAUCAUCCUGCCCUACCUUCCUGGGCCUACAGUGGGCGCAAACCCGAGCCAGAUCCCGAUUAAGUAGAGGCAGCCGCAUCGGUACUCCCUUAAUAACUUCUUCCCCUUUCCACAUUGUCGGCGAACACCCACCACAAUCCCCACGCCCGAGGCUUCCUCCCGCGGCGAAACCCUAGCGACCGGAGCGCUCGGCGGCGGCAGCCAUGGCGGACGACGACUACAAUGAAGUUGACAUGGGGUUCGCCUCUCUCUCUCUCUCUCUCUCUCUCUCUCUCUCUCUCUCGUGAUCACCGUAAUCUAGGCUAGGGUUUGGACAGGUAGCGUCUUCGUUAGGACGAACCUGUUCCCUUCGUUUCUUGAUAGCAUUCGGGUUGCAGAAACUUGAUUUUGAUGAUUGAUUUGGCGCUCCGCACGGAAGUAGUGGCGAGAAUCAGGCCCUGGGUAUGGUUGGUUGGGUUUCGAAAGCGCGCGGUGCUGAUUCUGAGUUCGCACUGGUUCUCAAGGGUAAUAAGCUCGUGUGUUGUCAAUUGGCAGGGCAAAUUUUUGUCUUCAAGUUGACUAAUAUGUGAAAUACAAGGCCCUCCGGUGGCCGGAGGACAUGGCUGUAGGCUUUGUUCCUCAUCUGAUUUGGAAAUUGUGCCCUGGAAUUGCGGGUAUACAAAUUUUUAAGGUGGAAAAUGUUUGAGUUAAAAGAUUAGUUGCACAUGCUCCAUUGAAGUUAGCAGGAGCUGUAAGGUCUUGCUUCUAACUGGGAUAAAAAUUUCAGCUCGGCCUUGCAUUUGUGAUUUGGUGGUUAAGAAUUUAAUGGAUUAGUUGGUCAAGUACUCAAGUCUAUCUUUUCAGGAUGCCACCGUCAUCAAGUGACACUAUGUGUCUAAUUGCUUAAACAAAAAUAUAUGGUCGCUAACUUUAGUAGAAUUACCAUUUAUAGAUAUUUUGUACUUAACUUACUUUGGGGUCAAUCUUGAUCCUUCUAUUUCUCUUCUCAUGCCAUUGUACCUAUCAGAGUUUAUUUCUUUGAUUGAAUUUUGAGUUACAAUUCCUCAUUUCUUAUGCAGGUACGAGGAUGAGCCUCCAGAGGCUGAUAUUGAGGUGCAGAUCCGUCACUAUUUUCCUAUACUGAUGGUAUCCUGAAGAGGAAGAGCUUGCAGCUUCAUUUAAGUAUAACUGAUGUAUUACUGUUGAAUAGGAAGGGGUUGAAGAAGAUCCUGAGAACAACGAGGAUGCCCCUGAUGACGUGGUAGGGGGUGAAGGUGAAGAAAAGGAACAGGAAAAGACUGCCCGUCCACGCAAUACAACAAAAUAUAUGACCAAGUAUGAGCGGGCACGCAUCCUUGGCACACGUGCUUUGCAGAUAAGGUAUACUUAUAUCUGAGUACACAUUCCUGUUAAUGAGUUCAUUUAAUGAAGUAAUCGACCCAUUGAUUUUUGUAGCAUGAAUGCCCCAGUUAUGGUUGAGCUUGAGGGCGAAACUGAUCCUCUUGAGGUAAAGUCGUAUAAUUUUUUGCUUACAUAUGCUUUUAAUGUUGGCUUCCAGUUAGACGAUGGCCUUGGCUGUUUGCUUUCAUUCUUUAGUUCCACUUGUCUUGUUGUACUUCUCUUUCUAGAAAAAUUCUGAUAGUAUAUUUAGAUGGAAAUUUACUUUUAAAGUAGAGAUUGAUUGCCUUGAUACUGUGGAAUUAGUCGUGUGCCAGGUAUAAGGACGGCCAUGCUUAUUUAUGAAUCUACUUUAUAUGGAGCUAUAUAAACUUAUGAAUAGGCUUUACAAUGAGAAGAUUGACAUUCUGAUGUGGUGAUCUAGGAAUCUACUUCCUCUGUCCGGAAAUAAGUGUUGCUCAAACGGAUGUAUCUAGAUACAUCCGUUUGAGCAACACUUGUUUCUGGACGAAGGGAGUACUUUAUAUUGAACUACUCUGUGCUAACCAAUGAAUAUCCAACAUUGUUGGAAAUAUUUAUAUUUAUGAAUUUGAUAACGUAGAUAUGUUU
rnacentral:lncRNA from 1 species